CCCUGAAAAAGAAAAAGCGUGUAACGUGUGGCUCCCCAUGCCUUGUGAUCGGACUGAAUUUCGACUGGCCAUCGGGAUUUCCUUCGGAUCAGACUCUGGCAUAGCAUGAAAGGAGUGUGAAUGUGGAAUAUAACGCGACCUGAUAGAACAUGAAUUUGGAUAUAACGCAGAAAAGCAGCACUCCGGAGGGGGGCGGAGCUGCGCACUCCAGCGGAUCAAAGCAAGUUCGAUAUAACGUGGUUUCACCUAUAAUGCGGAUGCAGGCAGCACAGUGCAUAUACAAGAAUUAUGUUCUCUCGAGACAUUACCUUCCAGCAUAUCAAAGGUCAAAAGUCUAAUUAGCGCUGCCUGCCCACAGAAGAGAGUGGAACAGCUAAGAGACAACUUGAGAACUGUGAUGGGACAGAGAAAAAUACAAAGAUACAAAGGACAACAGGAAAAGAAAAAGGACAAAGAUUCAAAGAGAUCAACAAGCUUUCCUGCUUCCUCAACUCCCAACCAGUUUCUAAAUUUUGAAUGAACUCGCUGAAUAAACUGAAAUGAAAAAAAACAUUCUCUGCGCUUGCAGACGAGCCUACUGCUAUCAAAAAUUGGUCAGUUACCCAUUUGUUGCCAUCCUCCAACUCCUCCAUGAUAACAUGCCCAUAAUGGUCAUCAGCAGAGGAUGCGAGACAGACCACUUCCUAGUCAAGCAAGGCUGUGUCAUCACUCCAACCUUUUUCUCCAUCUUCCUUGCUGUCAUCAUUCUUCUCAUCGCUGACAAGCUCCCCUCCGGAUUUGACAUCCAAUACAGAAUGGACAGCAAACUCUUUAACCUCAAUCGCUUCCAAUCCAAGACAAAGACCAUCUGUCAUAACUAUAAAGGGAAGGGGAACAGCCCUCCCGUGUACAGUACUAGAAAAUCCCUCCUGGCCAGAGACUCCAAAAUCCUUUUACCUGUAAAGGGUUAAGAAGCUCAGGUAACCUGGCUGACACCUGACCCAAAGGACCAAUAGGGGACAAGAUACUUUCAAAUCUCAGUGGGGAGAAGGCUUUUGUUUGUGCUCUUUGUUUUGGGGGUUGUUCGCUCUUGGGGACUGAGAGGGACCAGACAUCAAUCCAGGCUCUCCAAAUCUUUCUGAACAAGUCUCUCAUAUUUCAAACUUGUAAGUAAACAGCCAGGCAAGGCGUGUUAGUUUUUAAUCUUUGUUUUCUCAACUUGUAAAUGUACCUUUUUGCUAGAGUGUUUAUCUCUGUUUGCUGUAACUUUGAACCUAAGGCUAGAGGGGAUUCCUCUGGGCUCUUUAAGUUUGA